rnacentral:lncRNA from 1 species
GAACUCGGCGGCCGCCAUGGCGUCCAACAUGGACCGGGAGAUGAUCCUAGCGGAUUUUCAGGCAUGUACUGGCAUUGAAAACAUUGAUGAAGCUAUUACACUGCUUGAACAAAAUAACUGGGACUUAGUGGCCCACACCUGCGGCAUAUGGGAGUUCCCAAGCUAGCAGUUGAAUCGGAGCUGUAGCUGCCGGCCUGUGCCAUAGCCACAGCCACAGUAAUGGAUCCAAUCUGCAUCUGUGACCUACACUGCAGCUCAUGGCAAUGCCGGAUCCUUAACCCACUGAAUAAGGCCAGGGAUUGAACCCAUGUCUUCAUGGAUGCUAGUCGGGUUUGUAACCUGCUGAGCCACAAUGGGAACUCUCCUAUAUAAAUUUUUAAGAUUGCCUAUUUCAUUAAACCAGUGCUACUUUAUUUUUUCAUGUUCUGGCACUUGUCAAAAUUUACAAAUAUUUGUAUGGCCUUAUUUCAAAUCCACGCUUUACCACUGCGCUAUCUUCUUAACAAAUUAUAGCAUAGAUGACAUAUUCCUGAUUUCUAUGUGGAGGAAGGGUCAGUGACUUAUUUGGAGUGGUAUCACCAGGUUUCUUGUCUUGAAACUUCUUUUGCAAUAGUGAGAAUAUUGCUUCAUUUAGUUUGUAUAUUUUUAGUAUGUCUUGGAGAGGCUGAUGCAAAUUAUUGGUUGAAAUAAAAAAUCCCACCAAGCCACUCUUGCAUGGUACUGAUGAGAGGUAAUAUGCGCUGGGGUAAAGGGACAUUAUGGACUGAAAGUAAUGGACUGUAAGUCUUUGAAGUGAGAAUUAUCAUUUGGAUAUAAGUUCAUUCCUUAUCUGCUUCCUAUUGAUCCAUGUUCAUUAAUUUUGGAGAGUAAACAUCUACUCAAUUUAGUAAUCUGUCUAGAGUAUUGUAGAAAGAGAAUUUUUCCCAGAUAGUGUUAAAUAAUUGAAUGAUACAGGUAUUCUCCAACUAUUUCUGAGUUGUUUGAUUUUGGAAAAUACUAAAAUAGCACUUGGGCUAAAAAUACUCAUGCUGUAUUUCUGCAAAAAUACAAUCUCAUCUUGUGUUGGUCCUAAGCAAAGGCAUCAGGCUGUCUUUCACAGUCUUCAGCUUUGGCUUUCUUUUGAAAUUUAUGCCCUAGUUGGCUUUUCUUGGCAAAUAAUCCAUUUUUUUCCACAGUAAGGAUUUACUGUGUUGUGUAACUAUCUUGCUUUAAAAUUUUUCUUAUUUCCCUUGUUUUUCCACAGCACUCACUUUACAUUGUUGUUUUUAAAAAACAAAGCAAUAAAAAAAAUAAAAAUCAUUAUUUAUAUAAAAAAGAAUCUAUACAUGUAUGUAUAGCUGGGUUACCAUGCUGUACAGUAGAAAAUUGACAGAACACUGUAAACCAGCUAUAAUGAAAAAAAAAAUAAUAAAAAUCAUUAUAUAUAAAAAAAAAAUAAAAAAGGAAGCAAAUGUUUUGAGUAAGCCAUUACUAGUUCAGACUGCAUUAGGAUCAUGGUAUUUAUAUGGUGUUUUUUAUAUUUUGCUUGUGUGUUGUAUUUUUGUGUUCGAAAUUAUGAUUAUCAUUGCGUUAUAUUUUAUGGGCCUUAUGGAACAACUUACGUAAGUUCCAUAUCCUUAUGGAACUUAGGGUGUGUCUGUAUCUUACAUUUGCUCUGUGUGCUGGUUAGCCUUUUCCAGUGUCUUUGUGAACAUUUUGCUAGAGAAGUGUGGAGGAAUGUGAGUUAGGCAUCACAGUCUGGAAUUGUGAUGAAUUUUAAAAAGACUAAUAACAAAAAACUCAUUCUGUUGAUACUGAAUGCUUACAGACUCUCUGGAUUUAUGCUAGAUACAGUGGAAGCUGAAAAAAAUGUUAAUACUGUAUCUCUGAGAAGUAUACUGAAAAAUUGAGAAGACAAAUGGUCUUUUAUACCUGUAUAUAAUAAUCAGAAAUGGGAAUAACUUCUUUAAAAAAUGAUUGCAAAUAUAUUUUUGCCAUUUUAUAGAUUUAGACACACAAAUAAAAUAGUAUUCUAUAUGAAAUUGUAGCCCAGUCCUAGGAACUUCAGUCAUUAGUCACGUUCCCUGAUCCUGAACAUUAAUUUUAUUGUUUAGCUAUCCAUAGAGUGGUAUUUCCAAGCCCUAUGUUUUAAGUGCCCUACAAUUGACCCUACUUAUUUGGGGGCAAUUGCAGUUUGGGUUAUAUAUGCUAAAAUUCUGAGGAAAAAAAAAAAACGUGAGCUUUAAUACCGUUGAUAAGCAUCUUGGGCUACUGUUUUAUUUGACAUGAAUCCUCUAGUAUUACUCCAUCUACCUCAGACUUUAAUUUUUCACACUGUCCUGCACUUUUAGUUAAGAGAAGAUUAAUGCCAGUAUAGGUGAUUCUUUCAUUGCAGACAAGUAUUUUCUAUAUAAAUCCAGAAAGGUGAAUACCCAAGGAAGAAUUACUGGCAAUGAUGUAGAAUCUUUUACCAAAGCAUUGCCUUCUUACAUAGAUGCGUCUAUUUGAUCACUUUAAAUUAUAAAUCUGGGCUCCAUAAUUGACCCCCUGCUCAUUUUUUGUUUUUCGGUACAGAAGAAUUUGAGUCAGUUGUGAAUAGAAAUCUAUACGACUUGUGUUAAUUUUGAGUAAUCAGAAUGUGAGACAGCUAAUCGUAGUGGUGGAUCCAUUUCCUUCAUCUUGAAUUAGGAGACUUAGCUUUUUAAACCUCUUGUCAUUACUUUAUUGAGUAUGGCCUAGGCCAAGUUACUCCUCUGUGAACUUAGUAUAAGAUAAGGGAUUUGGGAGUUCCCUGGUGGCCUAGCGGUCAAAGAUCUGGUGUUGUCACUGCUGUGGCAUGGGUUUGAUCCUUGGCCUAGGAACCUUUGCAUGCUGUGGGUGUGGCCAAAAAGGGGGGUGUUUGGACUAGUUUAUCAAGAUCCUUUGUACAUGAAAUAUUUACGAAGACUGUUUAUGUUCUAAUUUUUGUUGAGAUUCUAUAAAAAGCAGACAAUUAUAAAUAGUAAUAUAAGUAAACAUUUUAAUAGAAAUUAAAAAUUUGAAACAGUUGUAUGCAUACUAUUUUGUUUAAUCCUUUUAACAACUUUAUGACACAAAUAAUGGAUGGACAAGAUGCUGUGCUAAUUGUUUCAUGAAAAGUCUUUAUAUAUGAAGCUCCUUCAGUAAGUUAAAAUUUCCAAUAAGCUAUAGAACAUGCAAGGGGGGCUUUUUGACAUAUACUUGAUAACUCAGUGCUAAGUAAAAUAAAGUACAAGUAAACAUUAACUUAGCCAUACUACAUUUUAAGUACUCUAUGCUCUUAGGAAAUGAUUUUUGAACUUUGUACUUACUUUCUGCUCUAAUUUGUGCUGGGGGCUGACAUAGCUACUUUGUUGAAGGAAGACUAUUCUGAGUGUUUGUAUUUAUUUUUAACUACAUGUCCCGACUUAAGGCAAAAAUGAAACAAAUAAGCCUACCUAACUUUUGGAUCAUUACUGAAUUUCUAGUCUUUAAAGAUAAUUUUAUAUUAAUAGGCACCUGGAGUUCCCAUUGUGGCUCAGUGGAUAACGAAUCCGACUAGGAACCAUGAGAUUGCAGGUUCGAUCCCUGGCCUUGCUCAGUGGGUUAAGGAUUUGGCGUUGAUGUGAGCUGUGAUGUAGGUUGCAGACGCAGCUCGGAUCCUGUGUUGCUGUGGCUGUGAUGUAGGCAGCUCCGAUUAGACCCUUAGCCUGGGAACCUCCAUAUGCCAGGGGAGAGGCCCUAGCAAAGACAAAAAGACAAAAAGACAAAAAGACAAAAAAAAAAAAAAA